AUAUAUCUGCCUCACUCUCAGUGAAAUCAGUAGUACUGCUAGGUUUUACACAGUAAUAAUAUAUAUCUGCCUCACUCUCAGAGAAAUCAGUAGUACUGCUAGGUUUUACACAGUAAUAAUAUAUAUCUGCCUCACUCUCAGAGGAAUCAGUAGUACUGCUAGGUUUUACACAGUAAUAAUAUAUAUCUGCCUCACUCUCAGAGAAAUCAGUAGUACUGCUAGGUUUUACACAGUAAUAAUAUAUAUCUGCCUCACUCUCAGAGAAAUCAGUAGUACUGCUAGGUUUUAUACAGUAAUAAUAUAUAUCUGCCUCACUCUCAGAGGAAUCAGUAGUACUGCUAGGUUUUACACAGUAAUAAUAUAUAUCUGCCUCACUCUCAGAGAAAUCAGUAGUACUGCUAGGUUUUACACAGUAAUAAUAUAUAUCUGCCUCACUCU
ensembl:lncRNA